rnacentral:rRNA from 1 species
ACGAACGCUGGCGGCGUGCCUAAUACAUGCAAGUUGAGCGCUGAAGGUUGGUACUUGUACCAACUGGAUGAGCAGCGAACGGGUGAGUAACGCGUGGGGAAUCUGCCUUUGAGCGGGGGACAACAUUUGGAAACGAAUGCUAAUACCGCAUAAAAACUUUAAACACAAGUUUUAAGUUUGAAAGAUGCAAUUGCAUCACUCAAAGAUGAUCCCGCGUUGUAUUAGCUAGUUGGUGAGGUAAAGGCUCACCAAGGCGAUGAUACAUAGCCGACCUGAGAGGGUGAUCGGCUACAUUGGGACUGAGACACGGCCCAAACUCCUACGGGAGGCAGCAGUAGGGAAUCUUCGGCAAUAGACGAAAGUCUGACCGAGCAACGCCGCGUGAGUGAAGAAGGUUUUCGGAUCGUAAAACUCUGUUGGUAGAGAAGAACGUUGGUGAGAGUGGAAAGCUCAUCAAGUGACGGUAACUACCCAGAAAGGGACGGCUAACUACGUG